GACUUUUCAAGCAAUCACUCAAGGACUUGGACUUUUUUAAAUUGUAUUUCUCCCCUCCUUUAGGUUCAUGAUGCUCUCUCUGGCCACCUUCCAGACAGGAAGAAAGAGCAGAGGAUCACUGUGAGAGGAAUUUGAGGAUCAAAUCCUGAAGUAACCUGUGACUAUGAAAAGAUAUUAUUGCCAUGGCUCUGUUAUGUUAUAUAGUACAGGUGAUCUUGAAAAAGGGAGAUUAUUUGGGUUGACCCAAUCUAACCAUAAGUCCUGAAAUGCACAAAGCUUUCUCUGGUGUGACAGAGUUUCUUUGCUUGACCAAACAUUAGUCAGUCUCUUGAAUCUUCUCCCAGGCCCAUCUAUGCACUUCCUUAUAAAAUCCACUUUUAGCAAGAACCCUGCUUAGUGAAUUUAGCAAGAACUCCUCACCCUCGAUAUCUGACUGGACUCCUCAUCCUCCACCAUCUCCCAGGUGAUGUCUGAACAUCCUGGACUGUCUUCAGCAAGAAUCUUGUUAGGAGUAGAAAGCAGAAGGCAACGUUAGAUGUAAAAAGAAAGACCUCAAAGCACUGUUGCUGGUAUGAAGA
rnacentral:lncRNA from 1 species